GAGCACUAAGACCCAGGAGACAGCAUUGCUUCCCCUAGGUCUUUUGGCUGGCAGCCAUUUUGUGCCGGCAGCCUGGGGAACCAGACCCAUUUACCAAGCAUGCCUUGUUCCUUGAGGUCAGUCAGAGGUGGCAGUAACACAAGGAGUUGGACCACACCCUCUUUGGUUGCCAUUUAUUGAGGCUUACAGCUAGGCCCUCCAGGGCUGAACUCCAGUAUCUCUCUCCUGUCUCCAGAUCUUCAUGAUGUCAGAACAAGCCGGCACACAAGGAAGCCGAGGAGCCCAUUUCAUUGUAAGCAAUGACGAUGAGAAUGAGCUCUCUGCUGACAUCUAGUGAUGGGCUAUGGAAGAGGACGACAGGGGCUGAUCUUGCUUGUCUCUCUUUCCCCCGCCCUCUACCUUGGUGCUCAGCCUACUGGGAUUGUUUGUCUAAAUGAUCACUUUUGUUUGGUGGUGUAUCCCCAGCUCUUUUGUUAAUGGAGCAGGCGUAAUAAAGGGCUAUUAUUCUUGAGGUGUAAAUCCAGGGCAGUGGAACUGUUUGUGCUGUGCCUCUUCAAGGUACCCCGGGGGUGAUGUAUAAUUGUCUGAGGUCUCUGGGUGGGGGCUUGAGCUGGUUUUGUGUUGUGUUGUUGAGAAGGAAUCCCUGGCCCUUGUUGCUGCCAGCUCUGACUAGUGGAAGUGUUAACGGAAUGUUUUCAUUCCCAGAUCUCAAAGCACUGAGCAAAGGAAGAUCAGUGGGGAGCAUUACCCAAGCUUCCUGACUCAGUUAGUGCUCUGGCAGAGGACUAUGCUGCUUCUAGUCCACUGUCCUGCAUUCUAUUGUGCCUUGUUCCACAUGGCAACUGCUGAGGAAUAGCCCUGCUUCCCAGUCCCCCAGAACCCUGACAAUUUAGGGGGUAGGCAGUCGGGAGAAACUGUCCUCUCUGCCCCAAGAGACCCGGCUGUCUACACUGCUCAAGUGGGAAGCUGAGCUCUGCUUAAGGGGGACAAGUGACUCCUUACUCAACAGGAGCUUGGCUUGCUGGAAGGAGGGUGCAGGGCUGAGCUGCAAGAAAGUGCCACUCUGAGUGGAGGGAUUGGUCCAGGGAGCAGUCCAAGAGCCCAGCCACAGCCAGUCUGGCAGAGAUCCAGCCCCAAAGGAGGAUGUGCAUGAAGACUGGGGCGGGGGGGCAGUUGAAGCCUGGCCUACGCUAUAAACCUAGCCUGACAGGACAAGGUCCCUUCUACUGACCUAAGUCACUUGUAAUGUUGACUUAAUCUCUCCACCUCCGCAAGAGGCAUAGUGCUUAAUUCAAUGUUGAUGGGUUGACAGAGAGGUAGUGUAGAUGCAUCAUUGUUUAAAUCAACUGAACUGGCCUCCAGGAGGUAUCCCACAAUAUUGAAUGUGGUAAAUCUUCUUGGUCUGUCUGUGGGGAGCAGAGUCCAUGCAAACACUGCUCUAAUCCAGCAACAGAAACGUUGACACCUACAAAAAGCUUUCAUGAGGUCUGGGGGAGGAGGUCUAUGCCAGGGACAUGCAGCAGGGCCACGUAAAUGUCAAAGAACUUCACUGGCAUAUCACAAGACAAAGGAGAUGAACAGUCAUUCUGGUUCUGCACCUCCGACGUGCCUCUUCUUCAAUGAGCUGCACUGGAUUCUCAGUGGUGACCCCUCUACUACCCCAAAUGUAGCAUGGAUACCACACAGGAGUCUGAGUCCUGGGCCUCCUCAGGCACCAACGAGGAGGACA